CCUUACAAUUUCAACUCUUCCUUGGAGGAAAAUGAGAAGUGCCAGGUUUCUUUCCAGAAUCUUUGGACAAUAGGUGGAGUGGCGGCAGAAAGGGGAAGAAUGGACAUGGUGGGUGUGAGCCAAUCACAGCAUAUUCAAUGAUUCCACAUGGAUUGGAGAGUGUUGAAUCAUGAGGAGGCUGGCAAAAGGGCCCUCUCCUC
rnacentral:lncRNA from 1 species